rnacentral:rRNA from 1 species
UACGUAGGGUGCGAGCGUUAAUCGGAAUUACUGGGCGUAAAGCGUGCGCAGGCGGUUUUGUAAGCCAGAUGUGAAAUCCCCGGGCUAACCUGGGAAUGGCAUUUGGGACUGCAAGGCUGGAGUGCGGCAGAGGAGACUGGAAUUCCUGGUGUAGCAGUGAAAUGCGUAGAUAUCAGGAGGAACACCGAUGGCGAAGGCAGGUCUCUGGGCUGACACUGACGCUCAUGCACGAAAGCGUGGGGAGCAAACAG